rnacentral:rRNA from 1 species
AGUCGAGCGGACCGACGGGAGCUUGCUCCCUUAGGUCAGCGGCGCCCGUGUGAGUAACACGUGGGUAACCUGCCUGUAAGACUGGGACCUCAUCAGGAAACCGGGGCUAAUACCGGAUGCUUGAUUGAACCGCAUGGUUCAAUCAUGAAAGGCGGCUUCGGCUGCCGUUCUCAGAAGGACCCGCGGCGCAUUAGCUAGUUGGUGAGGUAACGGCUCACCAAGGCGACGAUGCGUAGCCGACCUGAGAGGGUGAUCGGCCACACUGGGACUGACACACGGCCCAGACUCCUACGGGAGGCAGCAGUAGGGAAUCUUCCGCAAUG